GACGAACGCUGGCGGCGUGCCUAAUACAUGCAAGUCGAACGCUUCUUUCCUCCCGAGUGCUUGCACUCAAUUGGAAAGAGGAGUGGCGGACGGGUGAGUAACACGUGGGUAACCUACCCAUCAGAGGGGGAUAACACUUGGAAACAGGUGCUAAUACCGCAUAACAGUUUAUGCCGCAUGGCAUAAGAGUGAAAGGCGCUUUCGGGUGUCGCUGAUGGAUGGACCCGCGGUGCAUUAGCUAGUUGGUGAGGUAACGGCUCACCAAGGCCACGAUGCAUAGCCGACCGCAGUGGGUGAUAGGCCACACUGGGACUGAGACACGGCCCAGACGCCUACGGGAGGCAGCAGUAGGGAAUCUUCGGCAAUGGUCGAAAGUCUGACCGAGCAACGCCGCGUGAGUGAAGAAGGUGUUCGGAUCGUAAAACUCUGUUGUUAGAGAAGAACAAGGACGUUAGUAACUGAACGUCGCCUGACGGUAUCUAACCAGAAAGCCACGGCUAACUACGUG
rnacentral:rRNA from 1 species